rnacentral:rRNA from 1 species
UACAGAGGGUGCAAGCGUUAAUCGGAAUUACUGGGCGUAAAGCGCACGUAGGCGGUUUUUUAAGUCAGAUGUGAAAGCCCCGGGCUCAACCUGGGAAUUGCAUUUGAAACUGGGAAACUAGAGUGUGUGAGAGGGGGGUAGAAUUCCAAGUGUAGCGGUGAAAUGCGUAGAGAUUUGGAGGAAUACCAGUGGCGAAGGCGGCCCCCUGGGCCUGUACUGACGCUCAUGCACGAAAGCGUGGGGAGCAAACAGG